UGGCUCAGUGGUAGAGUGCUUGCCUUGCAUGCAUGAGGCCCUGGGUUCAAUUCCAG
rnacentral:tRNA from 1 species